GCCUUUGUAGCUCAGCUGGGAGAGCGUAAGACUGAAGAUCUUAAGGUCCGUGGUUCGAUCCCGCGCGGAGGCA